rnacentral:lncRNA from 1 species
GUUUCACCGUGUUAGCCAGGAUGGUCUCGAUCUCCUGACCUCGUGAUCUGCCCGCCUCGGCCUCCCAAAGUGCUGGGAUUACAGGCGUGAGCCACUGCGCCCGGCCUUUUUGGUUUUUUUUUUUGAGACAGAGUUUCAUUCUCAUUGUCCAGGCUGGAGUGCAAUGGUGCAAUCUCAGCUCACCACAAUCUCCACCUCCCAGGUUCAAGUGAUCCUCUUGCCUCAGCCUCCCGAGUAGCUGGGAUUACUGGCAUGCAACACCACGCCCAGCUGAUUUUGUAUUUUUAGUAGAGACGGGGUUUCUCUAUAUUGGUCAGCUGGUCUCAAUCUCCUGACCUCAGGUGAUCUGCCUGCCUUGGCCUCCCAAAGUGCUGGGAUUACAGGCGUGAGCCACUGCACCCAAGCCCUUUCACACUUGCUGUACGACACCCUGAGCCCCUCAG